AUUUCUAUAGUUGAAUUACAACGGUGGUUUUUCAGAUCAUUAGUCUCGGUUAAAUUCCGGGUGGGAAUC
rnacentral:tRNA from 1 species